AACGCACCUUGCGCUCCUUGGUAUUCCGAGGAGCAUGCCUGUUUGAGUGUCAUGAAAUUCUCUCAACCUUUUCAGGCUUUUAUUAGCUGGGUUAGGCUUGGAUUGUGGGAGCUGCUGGCUUCUCUCAGAGAAGUCAGCUCUUCUUAAAUGUAUUAGCAAAACUUUUGCUGACCAUCCUUGGUGUGAUAAAUUAUCUAUGCCAUUGAAAAUCAGCUUCCUUUGGGUUUAGCUUCUAAUAGUCUCUUUUUUUUUGAGACAACAACAACUUGACAAUUUGACCUCAAAUCAGGUAGGACUACCCGCUGAACUUAA
rnacentral:misc_RNA from 1 species